rnacentral:rRNA from 1 species
GUGCCAGCAGCCGCGGUAAUACGGAGGAUCCGAGCGUUAUCCGGAUUCAUUGGGUUUAAAGGGUGCGCAGGCGGCCUGGUAAGUCGGCGGUGAAAAGCCGGGGCUCAACCCCGGUCUUGCCGUUGAUACUGCCGGGCUGGAGUUCGGUCGACGGCGGCGGAAUGUGCCAUGUAGCGGUGAAAUGCAUAGAUAUGGCGCAGGACCCCGAUUGCGAAGGCAGCCGCCGAGACCUGGACUGACGCUCAGGCACGAAGGCGUGGGUAUCGAACAGGAUUAGAUACCCUGGUAGUCCACGCGGUAAACGAUGGUCACUGGCCUUGCGCGACAGAAUGUGCGAGGCUGAGCGAAAGCGUUAAGUGACCCACCUGGGGAGUACGUCCGCAAGGAUGAAACUCAAAGGAAUUGACGGGGGCCCGCACAAGCGGAGGAACAUGUGGUUUAAUUCGAUGAUACGCGAGGGACCUUACCCGGGCUCAAACGACGGUGGACCGGGGCGGAGACGCCCUUUCCAGCGAUGGCCGCCGUCGAGGUGCUGCAUGGUUGUCGUCAGCUCGUGCCGUGAGGUGUCGGCUUAAGUGCCAUAACGAGCGCAACCCUUGCCGUCGGUUGCCAGCGGGUGAUGCCGGGGACUCCGACGGGACUGCCGCCGCAAGGUGCGAGGAAGGCGGGGAUGACGUCAAAUCAGCACGGCCCUUACGUCCGGGGCGACACACGUGUUACAAUGGGCGGUACAGCGGGUUGCUGCGCGGCGACGCGUGGCGGAUCCCGAAAGCCGUCCCCAGUUCGGAUCGGAGUCUGCAACCCGACUCCGUGAAGCUGGAUUCGCUAGUAAUCGCGCAUCAGCCAUGGCGCGGUGAAUACGUUCCCGGGCCUUGUACACACCGCCCGU